GACUCGGAUUGGGGCGUUCAAGUACUUCAUGAAAUUCUUAUGAAGUCUACUUUUAUAUGUAUCCAGACUCAAGUCCAUAUAUGUUCUGAGGCAAUUACAAUGAUCGAAUUAUUACCAAGAGGUUUUUAUAUCCAAGGUGCUGUGUUGCCUUAUUUUGCCCCAAUGGGUCAUGUAUCAAGUUGGGUCCAUUAGGGACGCGUCCUAGGGUUGGAGCACAAACC
rnacentral:lncRNA from 1 species